rnacentral:rRNA from 1 species
AUGCCUUCCUGGAACGACGAGGAAAUGAGCACGGAGGAGGAGUGCGAGGUCGUCAGCAUGGACAUGGGACUUAUGGAGGAACCAGACACCACUGUGGAGCCCCUUUUCUGUGGCCAACUUGAGCUUGCUCAUCCCAAGUGCAUUCUGCAUCAAUUGAGGCCUAUUAAGCGUGUUGCUUUUGAAGGGCCUGUAACAGGAAGGCGUUUCUAUGGCUGCCCAGUCCAGGAAAAUUGUGUGAAUUGUGGUGUUGUAGAGUGGGUUGAUGGGCCUUGGCCAAAUGUUCUUCAGAGAUGUUUGUGCAAGCUAUGGGAGAUGUUCCAUGAGCAGAACUUUGGAAGGGUACAGGACAAGGAGAAGUUUGAGAAGGAGUUGGCCAGGCUUAAGAGUGGACAUGAAAGGGAGUUGGCCAAGCUUAGGACUGAAAAUGACAAGCUUUGCAUUGAGUACACCAAGCUUGUUGAUGAUGUAUCCAAGAUGUUUGAUUGGCAGGAUGGUAGGGUGGAUAAGAAGGUGUACCAGAAGCAAGUGGAGGAGGAAGAACUUGAGAAGAAGAAGGAGCUAGAGGAGAAAGCUAUGUUGGAGGUGCAGAUGGAAAAGCUCAAACUUGCAAAAGAGCAGAGGUGCAUUUUGCAGAGCCAAGCUGAUAUCAUCAAGAACACCAGGAAGGCUAUGAAGGCUGUUGAAGUUGACAGAGAUGUUCUUAAGAAGGAGAAGGCAAAGCUUGAGCUUGUUGUUGCUGAGCUGCUGAAAGAAGGGUAUGGCAGCAAGGAGAAGUUAGAGCAAAUCAAGGCCAUCCUUGAGUCUUGA